UGGAGGCUGUUUAGGGGGGCUGUGUUGUGGAAGAUGUUGACGCGGCGGCUCGGGAAGAGAGGCGGUGGAGUCCGGCAAGGUGGACCGAGAGGUAGGCGGCGGAGUCCGGCAAGGUGGAGAUGGAGGGGGAGAGAGAGACUCUGUUAUGAGGCCAGCUGAAAAUCACCAUCUGGGUUCUCCCAUCAAUGAAAAGGGUCAAUCCCGACCUCCCCAUUCCCAUCAUCUUUAUGUAUAUGUUAUUCAAGAAAUAAUGGUCUCCCCACCUGGAAUAAGAAGUGUGACAACAAAGAUACAUUAGUAUUGCAUUUGAAACUUACCACCAACCCAGCAGUGUCACUUGCUUACAGUGCGAGAAUGGCCGGCAUCCAGAGAUUUACUCACACAAGGUUUGUGGCUUCACCAAAAAAAACAACGAGAACAAUNCUUGUCCCUCUGUCAAGCGCGUUUGGGUGCCCAAGGUUCACAAUGAUCAGCCCUCUGUUCAGAAUGAUCAACCCCCUGCUGCAGAUACAGCUGCUAUGCCUAAUACCACUGUGGAGCAUCAAGCUAACAAGCCUCCUUCUUUUGAGCUUUUUGUUGAGCUUACUGGUGAGUCAUUUGCUAAGGGCACAUCUGUCGCAGCACCUGUGCCGGCUGCUACUGUUGAUAAACCGGAGGAAUGGACCACUGUCAAAGGCAAGAAAUCUAGUCCUCCUAAGACUCGUAGCCAGUAUAUAUACAAAUAUUUAUAUUAAACUACAAAUAUUUGUAAUUUUGUAAAGAAAACUAUAUUCGACGGGAUAUGUUUGUGUAUUACUCCUGGUUUACACUACAGGAAAACAGGACAUAACCGACCACCAAAAUCGGUCGGUUAUGAACGAAAUCGGUCGGUUAUAAGCCUAAAACCGACCGAUAACAGUGGUCGGUUAAACCUUGGUCGGUUACGUCAAUUGGUCGUGUUUAACCCAUAAAACCGACCGAAGGGGUGGUCGGUUAUGUGCUGUUGUAUUCCCAGAAAAAUGGGCCCACUUGUUGCCACAUGUCACCACGUGGCAACACGUGUCAGAACACGUCAGAAGCGAGCCUUAAAACCGACCGACAGAAGUGGUCGGUUAUGUUCCUUUUUCAUUGUUGACUUUGACAUAAAACCGACCGUGGUCAAACCUUCUGACAGGUCGGUUAUAUCCGGUCGGUUAUGACAUGGUCGGUUUUAAAACAGUACGCUUGGUAAUUUUUAAAACCGACCACCACAUAACCGACCGUGGCAGAAAGGAAGUGGUCGGUUUUCUAGGAGAGUGAUCAAGAAUGUGGUCGAUUUUAUACUAAGGUGGUCGGUUUUAUGGUCAUAUUAUGGUAAAAAACGGUCGGUUAUAAUCACCAUCGGUCGGUUUUAUUUGUUGCCACAUCACCAAGGUCGACGUCGUUUUGUGAUUUCGACGGGUUAAAACCGACCACGCGACCGUUGGUCGGUUUUAUAUGCGGCGGUCGGUUUUGUGCGGUCGGUUUUGACCUGUUUUCUUGUAGUGUUAGUAGUUUGAAUUUUUUUAAAAUAAUUAUUGAUGAUCCAACCUUAUAGAUGUUAAGAUGUAUAUAAUUUAGUCAUAUUAUUUUGAAUAAAUAUUAAACUUAUAGGAUUUGAAAUUAUAACAGUCAACUGAUAAUCUGACUAUUACAUCUAAAUGGUGUAUACUCCGGUUUAUUAGUUUGAUUUUUUUAAAAAAGAUUAUCGAUGAUCCAGCCUUAUAGAUGUUAAGAUCAAUAUAUUUUAAUCAUAUUCUCGAAAUUUCAACAAAUAUUAAAUUUAUAUGAUUUGAGAUUUUAAUAGUCAACUGAUUAUUUGACUAUUACAUAUAAAUCGUGUAUACUCGUGGUUUGGUAGUUUGAAUUUUUUAAAAAUAAUUAUCGAUGAUCUAACCUUACAAGAUGUUAAGAUUGAUUAAUUUUAGUCAUAUUUCUAAAAUUUUGACCAAUAUCAAAUUAAUAUGAUUUGAGAUUAUAAGAGNNNNNNNNNNNNNNCUUUAUGUAUAUGUUAUUCAAGAAAUAAUGGUCUCCCCACCUGGAAUAAGAAGUGUGACAACAAAGAUACAUUAGUAUUGCAUUUGAAACUUACCACCAACCCAGCAGUGUCACUUGCUUACAGUGCGAGAAUGGCCGGCAUCCAGAGAUUUACUCACACAAGGUUUGUGGCUUCA
rnacentral:lncRNA from 1 species